UUAAACUGAAGAGUUUGAUCAUGGCUCAGAUUGAACGCUGGCGGCAGGCUUAACACAUGCAAGUCGAACGGUAACGGGAAAGAAACUUGUUUC
rnacentral:rRNA from 1 species